rnacentral:rRNA from 1 species
CCUACGGGAGGCUGCAGUGGGGAAUAUUGGGCAAUGGGCGCAAGCCUGACCCAGCAACGCCGCGUGAAGGAAGAAGGCUUUCGGGUUGUAAACUUCUUUUCUCAGGGACGAAGCAAGUGACGGUACCUGAGGAAUAAGCCACGGCUAAAUACGUGCCAGCAGCCGCGGUAAUACGUAGGUGGCAAGCGUUAUCAGGAUUUACUGGGUGUAAGGGGCGUGUAGGCGGGAAGGCAAGUCAGAUGUGAAAGCCAUGGGCUCAACCUGUGGACUGCAUUUGAAACUGUUUUUCUUGAGUACUGGAGAGGCAGACGGAAUUCCUAGUGUAGCGGUGAAAUGCGUAGAUAUUAGGAGGAACACCAGUGGCGAAGGCGGUCUGCUGGACAGCGACUGACGCUGAGGCGCGAAAGCGUGGGGAGCAAACAGGAUUAGAUACCCUGGUAGUC